rnacentral:rRNA from 1 species
GAUGAACGCUGGCGGCGUGCCUAACACAUGCAAGUCGAGCGGACGCACGGUAAGCGCUCUCUUCUGAUGGUAGCGAGUGGCGGGUGAGUAACAAGUGCAUAACCUUCUUAUAAGACUGGGAGAACUUCGGGAGGCCGUAUCUAAUACCGGAGAAUACUUCCAACGGCUGGAUUCAGAAGUGAAAGGCGUCCUUCCUGCCACUAUGAGAUGAAGCCGCGCCGGAUUAGUUAGUUGGUAAGGUAACGGCAUACCAAGGCAACGAUGCGUAGCGGACCUGAGAGGGUGAUCAGCCACACUGGAACUGAGACACGGUCCAGACUCCUACGGGAGGCAGCAGUAGGGAAUCUUACGCAAUGGGCGAAAGCCUGAUGCAGCAACGCCGCGUGAGUGAUGAAGGUCUUCGGAUCGUAAAACUCUGUUGUUAGGGAAGAACAUAUGUGUAUGUAUAUGUGCACAUUUUGACGGUACCUAAUGAAAAAGCACCGGCUAACUACGUG